rnacentral:rRNA from 1 species
GACGAACGCUGGCGGCGUGCUUAACACAUGCAAGUCGAACGAGGUCCACUGCGUAGCAAUACAAGGGAAGACCUAGUGGCGAACGGGUGCGUAACACGUGAGGAACUUGUCCCGGUCUCUGGGAUAACAGUUGGAAACGACUGCUAAUACCGGAUGACGUCGGAAUCUCGCAUGGGAUACUGACGAAAGGGUUACUGGAUCGGGAGAGCCUCGCGGCCUAUCAGCUUGUUGGUGAGGUAACGGCUCACCAAGGCAUCGACGGGUAGCUGGUCUGAGAGGAUGAUCAGCCACACUGGGACUGAGACACGGCCCAGACUCCUACGGGAGGCAGCAGUGGGGAAUCUUGCGCAAUGGGCGAAAGCCUGACGCAGCAACGCCGCGUGCGGGAAGAAGGCCCUCGGGUUGUAAACCGCUUUCAGUAGGAACGAAAUGACGGUACCUGCAGAAGAAGGUGCGGCCAACUACGUGCCAGCAGCCGCGGUAAU